rnacentral:rRNA from 1 species
ACGCUCGACACCUACGGGAUGCAGCAGUGGGGAAUAUUGCACAAUGGGGGAAACCCUGAUGCAGCAACGCCGCGUGAGCGAAGAAGUAUUUCGGUAUGUAAAGCUCUAUCAGCAGGGAAGAAAGUGACGGUACCUGAGUAAGAAGCCCCGGCUAACUACGUGCCAGCAGCCGCGGUAAUCUGAGCGGGCUGGCAAGGC